UACGAAGGUGGCAAGCGUUACUCGGAAUUACUAGGCGUAAAGGGCAGGUAGGUGGUUUGAUAAGUCUGUUGUGAAAGCUCCCGGCCUAACUGGGAGAGGCCAACAGAAACUAUCAGGCUUGAGUAUGGGAGAGGGUACUGGAAUUCCUGGUGUAGCGGUGAAAUGCGCAGAUAUCGGGAGGAACACCUGUGGCGAAAGCGGCUCACUGGACCACAACUGACGCUGAUGCGCGAAAGCUAGGGGAGCAAACAGG
rnacentral:rRNA from 1 species